UGGGGAAUUUUGGACAAUGGGGGCAACCCUGAUCCAGCCAUGCCGCGUGUGUGAAGAAGGCCUUCGGGUUGUAAAGCACUUUCGGACGGAACGAAAUCGCACGGGUGAAUAUCCCGUGUGGAUGACGGUACUGUAAGAAGAAGCACCGGCUAACUACGUGCCAGCAGCCGCGGUAAUACGUAGGGUGCGAGCGUUAAUCGGAAUUACUGGGCGUAAAGCGUGCGCAGGCGGCUUCGCAAGUCAGACGUGAAAUCCCCGGGCUUAACCUGGGAAUGGCGUUUGAAACUACGGAGCUGGAGUGUGGCAGAGGGAGGUAGAAUUCCACGUGUAGCGGUGAAAUGCGUAGAUAUGUGGAGGAAUACCGAUGGCGAAGGCAGCCUCCUGGGCCAACACUGACGCUCAUGCACGAAAGCGUGGGGAGCAAACAGG
rnacentral:rRNA from 1 species